rnacentral:misc_RNA from 1 species
UCGAGUCGGUGGGCUCCGCGCCCACCACCCGCCAACCCUUUGUGUACCCUGCCCGUCUCCUUCGGCGCUGCGUGCGCUGGCCCGCUCGCGGGUUAGCGUGCCCCGCCGGCGUUCUAAAAACCUUUUGCUUUUUAAACGGUACAGUCUGAGCAGCAAGCAAAUCAGAUGA